rnacentral:rRNA from 1 species
UAGGGAAUCUUCGGCAAUGGACGGAAGCCUGACCGAGCAACGCCGCGUGAGUGAAGAAGGCUUUCGGAUCGUAAAGCUCUGUUGUCAGAGAAGAACGUUGGUAGGAGAGGAAAAUCUACCAAGUGACGGAAACUAACCAGAAAGGGACGGCUAACUACGUGCCAGCAGCCGCGGUAAAACGUAGGUGCCGAGCGUUGUCCGGAUUUAUUGGGCGUAAAGCGAGUGCAGGCGGUUCUUUAAGUCUGAAGUUAAAGGCAGUGGCUUAACCAUUGUACGCUUUGGAGACUGGAAGGCUUGAGUGCAGAAGGGGGGGGUGGAAUUCCAUGUGUAGCGGUGAAAUGCGUAGAUAUGUGGAGGAACACCGGUGGCGAAAGCGACCCUCUGGUCUGUAGCUGACGCUGAGGCUCGAAAGCGUGGGGAGCAAACAGG